rnacentral:rRNA from 1 species
AUUGAACGCUGGCGGCAGGCUUAACACAUGCAAGUCGAGCGGGGUGAUGGUGCUUGCACUAUCACUUAGCGGCGGACGGGUGAGUAAUGCUUAGGAAUCCGCCUAUUAGUGGGGGACAACAUCUCGAAAGGGAUGCUAAUACCGCAUACGUCCUACGGGAGAAAACAGGGGAUCACUUGUGACCUUGCGCUAAUAGAUGAGCCUAAGUCGGAUUAGCUAGUUGGUGGGGUAAAGGCCUACCAAGGCGACGAUCUGUAGCGGGUCUGAGAGGAUGAUCCGCCACACUGGGACUGAGACACGGCCCAGACUCCUACGGGAGGCAGCAGUGGGGAAUAUUGGACAAUGGGGGGAACCCUGAUCCAGCCAUGCCACGUGUGUGAAGAAGGCCUUAUGGUUGUAAAGCACUUUAAGCGAGGAGGAGGCUCUUUUGGUUAAUACCCAAGAUGAGUGGACGUUACUCGCAGAAUAAGCACCGGCUAACUCUGUGCCAGCAGCCGCGGUAA